UAAAGGGUCCGCAGGCGGAUUUAUAAGUCAGUGGUGAAAUCCUAUCGCUUAACGAUAGAACUGCCAUUGAUACUGUAAGUCUUGAAUUCGGUCGGAGUGGGCGGAAUGUGUAGUGUAGCGGUGAAAUGCAUAGAUAUUACACAGAACACCGAUAGCGAAGGCAGCUCACUAGGCCUGAAUUGACGCUCAGGGACGAAAGCGUGGGGAUCAAACAGGAUUAGAUACCUGGU
rnacentral:rRNA from 1 species